GGGUUGUGAGGUUAAGCGACUAAGCGUACACGGUGGAUGCCCUGGCAGUCAGAGGCGAUGAAGGACGUGCUAAUCUGCGAUAAGCGUCGGUAAGGUGAUAUGAACCGUUAUAACCGACGAUUUCCGAAUGGGGAAACCCAGUGUGUUUCGACACACUAUCAUUAACUGAAUCCAUAGGUUAAUGAGGCGAACCGGGGGAACUGAAACAUCUAAGUACCCCGAGGAAAAGAAAUCAACCGAGAUUCCCCCAGUAGCGGCGAGCGAACGGGGAGGAGCCCAGAGCCUGAAUCAGUGUGUGUGUUAGUGGAAGCGUCUGGAAAGGCGCGCGAUACAGGGUGACAGCCCCGUACACAAAAAUGCACAUGCUGUGAGCUCGAUGAGUAGGGCGGGACACGUGGUAUCCUGUCUGAAUAUGGGGGGACCAUCCUCCAAGGCUAAAUACUCCUGACUGACCGAUAGUGAACCAGUACCGUGAGGGAAAGGCGAAAAGAACCCCGGCGAGGGGAGUGAAAAAGAACCUGAAACCGUGUACGUACAAGCAGUGGGAGCACGCUUAGGCGUGUGACUGCGUACCUUUUGUAUAAUGGGUCAGCGACUUAUAUUCUGUAGCAAGGUUAACCGAAUAGGGGAGCCGAAGGGAAACCGAGUCUUAACUGGGCGUUAAGUUGCAGGGUAUAGACCCGAAACCCGGUGAUCUAGCCAUGGGCAGGUUGAAGGUUGGGUAACACUAACUGGAGGACCGAACCGACUAAUGUUGAAAAAUUAGCGGAUGACUUGUGGCUGGGGGUGAAAGGCCAAUCAAACCGGGAGAUAGCUGGUUCUCCCCGAAAGCUAUUUAGGUAGCGCCUCGUGAAUUCAUCUCCGGGGGUAGAGCACUGUUUCGGCAAGGGGGUCAUCCCGACUUACCAACCCGAUGCAAACUGCGAAUACCGGAGAAUGUUAUCACGGGAGACACACGGCGGGUGCUAACGUCCGUCGUGAAGAGGGAAACAACCCAGACCGCCAGCUAAGGUCCCAAAGUCAUGGUUAAGUGGGAAACGAUGUGGGAAGGCCCAGACAGCCAGGAUGUUGGCUUAGAAGCAGCCAUCAUUUAAAGAAAGCGUAAUAGCUCACUGGUCGAGUCGGCCUGCGCGGAAGAUGUAACGGGGCUAAACCAUGCACCGAAGCUGCGGCAGCGACACUAUGUGUUGUUGGGUAGGGGAGCGUUCUGUAAGCCUGUGAAGGUGUGCUGUGAGGCAUGCUGGAGGUAUCAGAAGUGCGAAUGCUGACAUAAGUAACGAUAAAGCGGGUGAAAAGCCCGCUCGCCGGAAGACCAAGGGUUCCUGUCCAACGUUAAUCGGGGCAGGGUGAGUCGACCCCUAAGGCGAGGCCGAAAGGCGUAGUCGAUGGGAAACAGGUUAAUAUUCCUGUACUUGGUGUUACUGCGAAGGGGGGACGGAGAAGGCUAUGUUGGCCGGGCGACGGUUGUCCCGGUUUAAGCGUGUAGGCUGGUUUUCCAGGCAAAUCCGGAAAAUCAAGGCUGAGGCGUGAUGACGAGGCACUACGGUGCUGAAGCAACAAAUGCCCUGCUUCCAGGAAAAGCCUCUAAGCAUCAGGUAACAUCAAAUCGUACCCCAAACCGACACAGGUGGUCAGGUAGAGAAUACCAAGGCGCUUGAGAGAACUCGGGUGAAGGAACUAGGCAAAAUGGUGCCGUAACUUCGGGAGAAGGCACGCUGAUAUGUAGGUGAAGUCCCUCGCGGAUGGAGCUGAAAUCAGUCGAAGAUACCAGCUGGCUGCAACUGUUUAUUAAAAACACAGCACUGUGCAAACACGAAAGUGGACGUAUACGGUGUGACGCCUGCCCGGUGCCGGAAGGUUAAUUGAUGGGGUUAGCGGUAACGCGAAGCUCUUGAUCGAAGCCCCGGUAAACGGCGGCCGUAACUAUAACGGUCCUAAGGUAGCGAAAUUCCUUGUCGGGUAAGUUCCGACCUGCACGAAUGGCGUAAUGAUGGCCAGGCUGUCUCCACCCGAGACUCAGUGAAAUUGAACUCGCUGUGAAGAUGCAGUGUACCCGCGGCAAGACGGAAAGACCCCGUGAACCUUUACUAUAGCUUGACACUGAACAUUGAGCCUUGAUGUGUAGGAUAGGUGGGAGGCUUUGAAGUGUGGACGCCAGUCUGCAUGGAGCCGACCUUGAAAUACCACCCUUUAAUGUUUGAUGUUCUAACGUUGACCCGUGAUCCGGGUUGCGGACAGUGUCUGGUGGGUAGUUUGACUGGGGCGGUCUCCUCCUAAAGAGUAACGGAGGAGCACGAAGGUUGGCUAAUCCUGGUCGGACAUCAGGAGGUUAGUGCAAUGGCAUAAGCCAGCUUGACUGCGAGCGUGACGGCGCGAGCAGGUGCGAAAGCAGGUCAUAGUGAUCCGGUGGUUCUGAAUGGAAGGGCCAUCGCUCAACGGAUAAAAGGUACUCCGGGGAUAACAGGCUGAUACCGCCCAAGAGUUCAUAUCGACGGCGGUGUUUGGCACCUCGAUGUCGGCUCAUCACAUCCUGGGGCUGAAGUAGGUCCCAAGGGUAUGGCUGUUCGCCAUUUAAAGUGGUACGCGAGCUGGGUUUAGAACGUCGUGAGACAGUUCGGUCCCUAUCUGCCGUGGGCGCUGGAGAACUGAGGGGGGCUGCUCCUAGUACGAGAGGACCGGAGUGGACGCAUCACUGGUGUUCGGGUUGUCAUGCCAAUGGCACUGCCCGGUAGCUAAAUGCGGAAGAGAUAAGUGCUGAAAGCAUCUAAGCACGAAACUUGCCCCGAGAUGAGUUCUCCCUGACUCCUUGAGAGUCCUGAAGGAACGUUGAAGACGACGACGUUGAUAGGCCGGGUGUGUAAGCGCAGCGAUGCGUUGAGCUAACCGGUACUAAUGAACCGUGAGGCUUAACCUUACAACGCCGAAG
rnacentral:rRNA from 1 species